AGAGACCACCCCGCGGCACGCCCCUACUCACUGGAGGGGGUUUUCUGCCCAUCUCUUGCUUUUUGCACCUGCUCUUCGUCAACGAGGCUUCGCUCCCCCCGCUCGCUUCUAGGCCCGUCUACGCGAGUAUGCAGCGGCCUCUCGGAGUGUUUUGAGAGGGAUGGACACCUUGUUAAGACACGCCUACUCCGGCCCCCACUGGUUGUGACUUGCUGUCGUUCUGCCUCGCCUAUCCCUGCUCUAUUUCUGUGCUUUCCGCAUGCUCUCGCUCAGUUUUCGUUUCUUGUCCUGUCAUCGCUUUAUUAUCAAGACGUUGAACUGCAACACCAUCGUCUCGCUCCCUUGGAUUUUCGCCAAGGGCGAGUCUUCUUUUUGUUUCCCUCCCCUCACUUUCUCAAUUGUCCCACUCUUUUGGUUAUAAGUCUCCCUUUCGCUGCCCUUGAUGACGGGUCACACCUCUCAGGACGUGGUGGUGUCACAGGGCCCAGUACAUCCCCUCCCACUCUCUCUGUGUGUGCGUGGAGAAGCCGGGCAGCCCCCCUCCCCUCCUGUGCUUGCGAAAUGCCGAGCGGCUUCUGGCGGUGACAGGGUCUGGUGACUGCGACGUGGGGAGGUCAGAGCGAUGCAUUGCUACUGAUGUCGGCAGUGAGGUCGUGGGCGGCGUUGCGUCGGAGCGACCCGCGCCGCUGAACGCGUCGGCGCCAUCGACAUGAUGGGCGAAGUGCCAGCGUGACUGGAAGGCGUCGCAGCCGGCCCUCACACUGCCCGCUGGUGUGUGUGGCGGGGGGCCUGGGGCAGCGCACGAGGGGGUGCGCGAGGUGGUGGCGUGCGUGAUGGGUGCGGCUGUGAGGCGACCUGCGAGGCCGGGGCGGUGCUGAGGUGACUGCGUGUGUGCGCAUUGCUGUGAGGCAUGCGUCUCUGGCUGCAUUGCACCACGCGGGGUGCGCCUGUGGCAGGGCCGGGGAGGGCUGGAGUGGGGCUUGACUCCUGUUGUAUGGCCGGGAGGAUGGGCUCACGUCGAGAAAGGAACAUAAUUCCCGCCAAUCAGCUUUGCGGGCGUUCUCCAGAGCCAAAGGAAUACGCGUCCACGCACAGACCCAAAGCCUAAACCAAGCGAAAAAGGCAAAGGCUGAAACAGCGGAAAACGAACGGCCGUACUCUGUUGCCAGAAUCACCGUCUUGACUGCUCUUGGGCUUUGUGUUCUCUCUUCCCUGCUCUUUCUCACGUUGCUACCUCCUCCACCUCCAUCGGAUCUGCUCUCCACAAUACCCAUCACUGCUGUUCUCCCCACCCCCGAAAAAAAAG
rnacentral:misc_RNA from 1 species